AGCCGGAUAAUCGCGCUUUUACCCAAAAGUGAGGAAAGUCCGUGCAUCCAAGGACAGAUCGCCGGAGAAACUCCGGACGGCGUGAGCCGGUGGAUAGUGCCACAGAAAUGCAGACUGCCGAUGGAUUUAUUCAAUCACAGGUGAUGGUGCAACGGUGAGUUAAGAGCUUCACCAGCGGUAUUGAGAAAUACCGGCUAGGUAAACCCCGAUAGGAUGCAAGAUUAAAAAGAAGGCUAAAGGUUGUCCGCCCACUUCUGAAAAAUCGCUAGCAGUUGUAAGUAAUUACAACUCCAGACAGAUGAUUAUCUAGAAACAGAACACGGCUUAUGAGCUGCUUUU
rnacentral:RNase_P_RNA from 1 species